rnacentral:tRNA from 1 species
GGGCGCGUAGCUCAGCGGGAGAGCACUGCGUUCACAUCGCAGGGGUCGCUGGUUCAAUCCCAGCCGCGCCCACCA